UCUCAGAAAUGAAUCCAUGAGUCCAUGGAAUGGAUAUAGACAAAAAGAUAAUUCAAGGACUAUCAGAGGUCGAGAGGCGAGGCAGGGGACUGGAGACCACAGCAGCGAUCCUGCUCUUGCCCUACCUCCUCAAUGAGGACACGAGUGGUCUUUAUGUCCGUGACAAGAUUUCACCGCUCUUCACUCCUUUACUGCACAUCGGUGGAAAUCCAUUUCACCAUUAGAGUGAAAUCCUGCUGGCCUUUGAUGGGGAGAACAUCCACGCCCUCGAGGACAUACCCAUGGGACUUGGGGCUCUGCUAGGGUUGUAUUUUUUAUUUUCCCUUAAAUUUCACAAAAAUGUCAGAAAAACACUUAUGUUGUUAAGUUACUGUGUUCUGGGGAUAAGAGAAGUUGGGGUGAAGUUACCAGGGCCGGUCAUAAAGAUGGCAAACUUCCUAACAUAACUAAGUGAAUAUGAUAUACACACUAAAGCUGAAAAAUCUGUAUUUAGCAUCAA